AAAAAAAAAAAAGAUAUAAAUGUUAUUUUUUAUACAUUUUAUACAAACUCAUUGUUAAUUUGAAGCUAAUUUAUUACUCAGAAAAAGAUGAUUUGUUAAAACUACAUUUUGAUGACCUGUAUCUUUUUCUGGAUCUUUUAAUUUUUUUCCAAGAAUACAUGUACAUUAUGCCACAUCCACUUAUAACAAAAAAAGUUAAUUUUUAUCCUGAGAAAUCUUUGCUACAUCUCAUCAGUACUUUUUUUUUAACAGUAAGAAAUAGAUGGAGUGUUUACUUUUACACAAUAUAAGAUGUUUCUAUCAUUUCACUUAGUAAUAUGUUAUAGUCAGGAGUAAUCAUCUAUUUCCCCUGUUAAAUGGAUGGAAUUUAAAAGGAUUUUAUGCCACCAUUGCAGUUCAUACCUAUUAUUAUGUUUACUAGAACAAGUGAAUAAGCUUGAACAAGAGAUUACUCCAGAAUUGCUCUUGAAAAAAAGCUAAUGUUUUCUAACAGGAGGCACCUUUGAGGUAGUGAAUCCAUAUACGAACUGAUAGCUAUGCUAUCAGACAAUAAAAAUCUGUGACUCCUGAAGAGGAUCAACUGUUAAUGAGAGAAACUGUUUUAGAGAACCCAGGAAGUAUGCUUCCCCUCCGCCAGAGGGGUUAUGGAGUGUUUCGGAAGAAUACUAUGAGAAUUUGAGGUCCAAAAUAUUUCUUUCCAUUUGAAUUAGAAUUGCAAAUCCAAUUCACACUGGACGAAGAUCCUAUUUAUUUCUUUAUAUUCUAUGGAAAGUGCUAUCCCCCGGUGACAUGGCAACCAUAGCAAACAUAGCAAAUAAAGCUCUAAAUUUUAAUAAUGAGAGUUACUUGAAAGCAAUGACAGCACAGCCAAACGUAUCUUUGUAGUAAAAUUUUGUGCAUAUAGGAGAUAUUCCAUAGAUAUUUGUUAAGCUGAACUAGAUAAAAUCUAUACUGUCUUUGUGGAACAUUAUAAAGAUUGAAAAAUUGUUGAAAAUGUUGCUUAUAAAAACCAAAAGUUAGGUGACUUAAGUAUCUUAUAUUCUGGUGGAAGAAUACCAUCCAUUUAACCCAGUGUACUCCUCUACCUUUUGGAGUCUUCAUAUUAAAAAAUAUUAAAAUAUUUGUUGAUUGAAUGUAAAGUAAUAUGAGUCUCUUCUACUUCACAGAAUUUGAGAUUGGAAAAGUUAAGAUGCUCAUACUAAAAGAAGUGAUACAUAUGCUUCAAAUCUCUUUGAUAUAUAGAGACAUGGACACCAACUGUCAAGGCUAUUGCACAAACACAGUCAGACUUCAUUAGAACAAGCAUGGAAAUCUGAGAUGUAACAUGUGCAUCAGGCACUCACAUGGCACAGCCUGGCAGCUGUCCCUGAGGACAUCAAAUACAGCUCAGAGUGAAAGGUUACUCAGCUUCUCAAACUCAGCCAUAGACCAUGAGAAGUUCUCAGGAAGAUAAAGGCCAAUCUGAAAGAUGAAAAGGUAUCAGAGGCAUGCAGGCACAGAGAAAAAGCCAUUUGAGGCCAUCCUCAAGAAGAAGCCAUCUGUAAGCCACAGAGUGGGGCCUUAGGAGAAGCCAAGCUGUCAGCACCUUGAUCUUGGACUUCCAGCCUC
rnacentral:lncRNA from 1 species